rnacentral:tRNA from 1 species
UAAUUAAUUAAUUGGCAGAAAAAUGCAUUAGAAUUAGAAUCUAAUUAAACUCAA